CCCUUAGAUGUUCUGGGCCGCACGCGCGCUACACUGACGAAUGCAACGAGCUUAUAACCUUGGCCGAAAGGUCUGGGUAAUCUCCAAAUUUCGUCGUGAUGGGGAUAGAUUAUUGCAAUUAUUAAUCUUCAACGAGGAAUGCCUAGUAAGCGCAAGUCAUCAGCUUGCGUUGAUUACGUCCCUGCCCUUUGUACACACCGCCCGUCGCUCCUACCGAUUGAAUGGUCCGGUGAAGCGCUCGAACCGCGGCCUCUUGACGGUUCGCUGUCGAUUGGCUGUGGGAAGUUCGUUAAACCUUAUCAUUUAGAGGAAGGAGAAGUCGUAACA
rnacentral:rRNA from 1 species